UGAUUUAGAAUGUUAAAGAGUUUAUACAUUUCAAUUUAUAGAACUUUUCCACAUGUUGAUUAGGAUGGUUGCUAUACGUAGUAGUCUACUUGCUGUUGACCACAGGGGAGUUUACCCAUCAUUAACCUGAUUUAAACACUACGUGGUAGUUAAAUGUGUGUUUCGUCUCUUCGUAAGUGUGUGGGAAAUUUGUAUUUGGGUGUCUUACGCGGCUUCUGAUUCUACGGUGUGUUUAAACUGGUAAACAGUUUUUAUCACGAACACGUCCGCAAUGGGUUAAUAAUGGUCUUUUCCAGUUAAAAUACGUUAUAUGGACUGUAAACUGAAUUGAGCGGCAUUAUGUCAACAAACGGUAAUAUUUUGAGUCAUUGCAUGUGUCGGGUUGAAACUGUCAGCGCUGAUAUAACUUAACUGGCUUUGGCCAAAUAGAUCCUAAGAUAAAACAUCAUACUGACAACGCGUGACAUGUUAAUUUACACAAAAAUUAUUAAUACCGUGGUCACACAAUACUGAGAUGUUGUGAGGACGAAGAGGAUAUGAAGGUGUCCACAAAGCGUCCCAGAAAAGAGCACCAUCACAAAAUUAACACCGCAACGCCGAGAGAAUGCAACUGGUUUACAUGGAAGGACCUGGCAAGUGAUUGAAUCAGUGCAAUCUAGGCUCUAAUAGGUUUUGAGAACCAGUCUACCCCAAAAACUACUUGUGAACUUCUACCGCAGUGCUAUUGAGAGUAUACUGACAUACUGCAUGACAGUGUGGUAUGCCAACUGCAAUCAGGCCGAUCGAAAAGCUCUCCAGCGAAUAGUGAACACGGCACAGGACAUCAUCGGGACCCAUCUACCGGACUUGGACUCAAUCUACACCUCACGAUGCGUGCAGCGGGCUCACAACUUCAUAAAAGAUCCAUCCCACCCCAGCCACUACCUGUUCAACCUCUUGCCGUCUGGAAGGAGAUACAGGAACAUUGCAGCUUGGGCUUCCAGGAAGAAAAACAGCUUCUUUCCCAGGGCUGUUGUACAAAUAAACAAUGCUGCUUUUACUCCUAUCCCCUCACCCCCCAGUGUGCUAGAUCUGGAGCACAAGCCCAGUACUUUUAUAUACAUUUAUUUAUUUUCAUUUUUUUAAUUGACAAUGUUUAUCUGUUU